GGAAGAAGGAAGGAAGGGAGGAAAGAAGGAAGGAAGAAAGGAAGGAAAGAAGGACAGAGGAAAGAAGGAAGGUAGGAAGGAAGGACAGGAGGAAGGAAGA